UGGAGAAUCCCAGGGACGGGGGAGCCUGGUGGGCUGUCAUCUCUGGGGUCGCACAGAGUCGGAUAUGACUGAAGCGACUUAGAAGUAGCAGCAGCAUGUGUUAAAUAGGGAGUGAGACCUACUACACAAAAUUUGUUGUCAGAACCAAAUCAGAUAAAAUAUGCUGAGAGGGACUUCCCUGGUGGCUCAGUGGUUAAGACUUUAUGCUUCCAAUGCAGAGGGCACCAGUUCAAUCCCUGGUCAGGGAACUAAGAUCCCACAUGCCAUGCGGAGCAGCCAGAAAUAGCAAAGGUAUAAAGUAUAGUUUUCCCACCCUCUUCCCUGAGGGUGCACCUUUUUUCCUCCUGGGCUCUCCCAGCUGCUCUCUAGUACUUCCUUCCAGUCAUUUACUUUGAAAGCUACUCCAUUUAGCACUUAAUCUUACUGCUUUGGAGUUCCUUGGGUUGUUCACCAUUCCACUUUAGAAAGUGCACCCUCUGCCAGUUUGCACUCAAGAGGAGGAACUGUUUUUCUUGGCCCAAAGUAUAUGCUCCACAAUGGACUGUUAAAUGAAUAAGCUCAAUGAUAGUCAUCUUGAAUCACCCAGGACUGUGCACUGGGGAAAUGAGGACCAUGGGGAGAGGGGGGCAAAGGGGAGGAUAGUGGUGAAGCAUUACUACAGUGGGCAGCCAGAAAAGCACUUUGUUUAAAUGGCAAAACAUCUGAAUUGGGGUCUCAGCGCCAUCCUGAGAACUGGGUCCAAGCUGCCAGGGUUUAUUCACCUGUAUAAUAGGAUUAAAUAGGGAUAAACACCCGCUUUCAGCUGUAAGGGAAAUGCUUUGCCAAGGUCCCUCUGUUUCAGUAACCCCCCCCCCCCAGGCGGAGUAAGGCGAGAAGCCGCCACUUCCCCCGAUUCCCACGGCGGUGGGAGAAGCGACGUAGGGCUGCAACCUCCCAACUUCCGUGGACUACAGCUGUGGCUCGGCAACCCCGAAUCUCCGUGUAGGAAAGUCCCACCCGUCAUCGAUGAUUCGCAUCGGUAAACGGCGCCCAAGCCACUCCGAAAGAUUAUUGGUUAAUGCUGCUGUCAGUCGGCAGACGCUGGCGGAGGCCUAUGGGAAAUGUAGUUCAGCCAGCCCGAGUCCUUCAGAAGCUUGCAUUUCCGCUUCCGGCGUUUAGUCGCUGUCCGAAUGUGGAGAUCCAGAUCUGGGUUAGACAGAAGCAUCCACAGAGUGGACAGGAGACAGUGGCCCUGGUGGAAGAUUUGCAAAGAGAACCUGGAAGACAGCAGCUGCAGGUCAUGGUGAUGAUGUCACAGCCAGACCAGAAGACCAAAUGAAUCGUAGCCCUGAAGUAGAACUGAGAGCCUCCCACAAGAGCGAGCAGGUCCAGGGAUCUGCCCAGCAGGAUCCAGGGAUACCCUCAGGAUGGACAGCGUCAGCAAGAGAGAGAAAGUAAAGGAGAGAAAAAGAGGCUGAUAUUCCUUGGUUUACACAGAAAGCCAAUAAAGCCCCUGACACAGGACUUGCUCUGUUCACGGAGGCCGCAGGCAACCUCUUGAUGGAGUGAAGAUGCAGAGCGCCUUCUCUCCGGAGUGGAGACGCAGAGUGCCUCCUCGAUUGGGUCUUAGAAGCCCGGGCAAAAAAAGUGAACUCAGAGAGCCUCUGUGCUCCAAGGAAUCAGCUCAAAAAAAGAGAGAGAGAGAA